rnacentral:rRNA from 1 species
GAUGAACGCUGGCGGCAUGCCUAAUACAUGCAAGUCGAACGAGAGGAAGGAAAGCUUGCUUUUCUGAAUCUAGUGGCGAACGGGUGAGUAACACGUAGGUAACCUGCCCAUGUGCCCGGGAUAACUUCUGGAAACGGAUGCUAAAACCGGAUAGGUAGCAGACAAGCAUUUGACUGCUAUUAAAGUGGCUAAGGCCAUGAACUUGGAUGGACCUGCGGUGCAUUAGCUAGUUGGUGAGGUAACGGCCCACCAAGGCGACGAUGCAUAGCCGGCCUGAGAGGGCGGACGGCCACAUUGGGAAUGAGAAACGGCCCAAACUCCUACGGGAGGCAGCAGUAGGGAAUUUUCGUCAAUGGGGGGAACCCUGAACGAGCAAUGCCGCGUGAGUGAGGAAGGUCUUCGGAUCGUAAAGCUCUGUUGUAAGAGAAAAACGACAUUCAUAGGGAAUGAUGAGUGAGUGAUGGUAUCUUACCAGAAAGUCACGGCUAACUACGUGCCAGCCGCCGCCGAAUAC